rnacentral:lncRNA from 1 species
CAAGCAUAUGUUCUAACACAUUUGAAUAAUAAUAAAAUAUAAACAAGUAGCACGUAAAUCCCCUCCCCUUAGACGAUCCCCCAAGUUAUAUCAUAUAGAGAUAGUGUUAGAGUUAUACACAAUAUUACAAGCCAAAAUAAAGAACAAAUGAAUAAAAUAUACAACAUUAAAAUAAGUAAAAUAGCUCCGUCUGGAAUUCUCUUCUAGGAGACUCUUCGACAUCUUAAACUCUAAGUUCAACACCUGUUAAAAGGGAUAAUGUAACACACAUAUAUAUAGUGGCAAAAUAAUCGUAACAUCAAAUAUUCAUAGCAACAAAAUUACUUUCAUACGUAUAAGCAACACUCAUAAAAAAGGUCAAAACAAACAAAUAAUAAUCAUAGGCAUUAUCACACAUAGCGAGAGGGAAGAACGAAAACUAAUCCAAAUGCUUUCUUUACCAUUACAACUUACAUAGAGGUAUGGAUGCAAAAUAAUAUGAACGCUAAAUAAGAUUACUAACCAAUUAGGCAGACAAGAAAUAUCAGCAAUGAAGACCCCUUAAUCCAACUUUCGACCCGUACACAGCAAAAUAGCAAGUAUAGAGAAGCUUUAAUGUUUACCGGAAAACUUAAUCCUAUUUUAAAGAGCAGCGAGCAACAUAUAUAUAUUUUUUUUUAUUCAAAGUAAGAGCAAAGUAGAUGUGAGAGUGUCUAGAGGUGUGUGAUCAACCGUGUGUGUGAGAGGGUCCGGAUGAGAGUGUCCUUUAUAUAGUGAAAGGGAGGGCACAUAAUAAAGGAAAAGAAAUAUUUCGGGGUCAAUUGACUAUCAUUGCUUUCUAAAAUAAGGAAAUACAAAAUCAGCCAUAUAAUUCAAUAAACAAUAAGGAUUUUACCAAAAAUAAGCAAGUAAGAGACAGUUAGAUCCUAAUUAUACCAAGAAAGUUAAUUAAGGAAGUUACUAUGUUAAUAAUAUAUAUAAGUUAGUGGAAAGGAACAACUGGUCAAGGAAGGAAUAUUUUAUUUUUUUUAUAUAUGAAAAAAGAGUGAAAACUAGGAUUCUUACCAAAAUAAUGAAGCCUAAAUUGUGACAUCAACAAUCAAGGAUUAUAUAUGGCAAGAACGAUCAAUUAGAUAUUUUUCCCUAUUCACCAAAUAAGUAAUAUUAUUUUAAGUUAUUUUGCUCAAUCAAAUAUAAUUUUAGUAAAAUAUAACAAGUAAGAAUCAAC